rnacentral:rRNA from 1 species
GAUGAACGCUGGCGGCGUGCCUAAUACAUGCAAGUCGAGCGAACGGACGAGAAGCUUGCUUCUCUGAUGUUAGCGGCGGACGGGUGAGUAACACGUGGAUAACCUACCUAUAAGACUGGGGUAACUUCGGGAAACCGGAGCUAAUACCGGAUGAUAUUUUGAACCGCAUGGUUCAAAAGUGAAAGACGGUCUUGCUGUCGCUUAUAGAUGGAUCCGCGCUGCAUUAGCUAGUUGGUAAGGUAACGGCUUACCAAGGCAACGAUGCAUAGCCGACCUGAGAGGGUGAUCGGCCACACUGGAACUGAGACACGGUCCAGACUCCUACGGGAGGCAGCAGUAGGGAAUCUUCCGCAAUGGGCGAAAGCCUGACGGAGCAACGCCGCGUGAGUGAUGAAGGUCUUCGGAUCGUAAAACUCUGUUAUUAGGGAAGAACAUAUGUGUAAGUAACUGUGCACAUCUUGACGGUACCUAAUCAGAAAGCCACGGCUAACUACGUG